rnacentral:rRNA from 1 species
AUGGUCUUACCACAGUCUGACCCAGGUGAGGGUGGUGUCGACGUAGCUGACGAGAGGGAAAAGCUGGAGGUAGAAGGUGAUCUCACCCUGCACCUCGCGGAGCUCGUCGGCGUGCCGCGCCCCCAUGAAGCACCGGUAGAGGUAUCCACGGCCCUGGCAGGACCUGACGAGCAGCAGCGCGCGCCGGAGUGUCUCCUCGAGCUGCUCCAUCGGGUUCCUCGUCUCCGGCUGCUGCAUGAGCUGCGCGGCGUGGAGCUGGUGCAGCAGGUCCCCGAUCAUCUUGGCGCGGCGCGCGAGCUGCAGGCAGGUGGCUCUGUUCCUCCGGACCGUCUGCGCCGCAUCGGCGAUCAUCUUGAUGAGCCCGUAGGCGUCCACUCCUGCAAACUGCGCAACCAUGGCAGCCUGACCAACUAG